rnacentral:lncRNA from 1 species
CCAGAAUGCAGUCCUGGGUAAUAAGUCUUGAAUUAAUGGAAAAGCUUACUGACUGCCAAAGGUUCAAGCUCCUCUUCCUAAGUGCAAAGUGCUUGCUGGGAAGUGGCUGCCCAGCCAGAGACUGUAUUUCCUAGUCUCCUUACAUCUAUGAGUGAGGCAGCACGUGACUACUUCUGACCAAUAGAAUGUAUGUAGACAUUUUGAUUGGUACUUGUGUGUGAAGUUGGGUACGUGUCUGAUAUAUGUUUUCCAAAAUGUUCCCACCUUCUCUAUUGACCUUGGAGGCCGUGUUUUGAAACUGGCAGCAUCACAAGAUGGAAGAAUCUGUGAUUACUGAAUCAUGGAGACAGUCAGGAGAGCUGUCCAACUGAACACCUGCAUUGGAUUUUGUGGGUGCCCUUUUAAAGAGCCCUGCUGUCUCCUAAGAUGAUGAAGGCUGCCAUGGUAGACAGAAUAGUGCCCCGCCCCCACCAAAGAUGUCUACAUCCUAGUCCCUGGAACCUGCUUUCUUCUUUUCUUUGUGUUGAUGCCGAAUUCUAGGAACCAACCUAGAACGAAGAGCUGUUGCAUGAAUUAGGGUCAUAUUUGGAAGGACAGCUCAUUCGGCUUGGAAGGUCGUGUCAGGGAGUGCGGAAGAGGAGGGGUGCAGUGAUGCCAGACAGGCAGGCGAGCCAGCAGACACACGUG